rnacentral:rRNA from 1 species
GUCCUGUACUGGGGGAUAGCCCGGCGAAAGCCGGAUUAAUACCGCAUACGAUCUACGGAAGAAAGCGGGGGAUCUUCGGACCUCGCGCUGUAUGGGCGGCCGAUGGCAGAUUAGCUAGUUGGUGGGGUAAAGGCCUACCAAGGCGACGAUCUGUAGCUGGUCUGAGAGGACGACCAGCCACACUGGGACUGAGACACGGCCCAGACUCCUACGGGAGGCAGCAGUGGGGAAUUUUGGACAAUGGGGGCAACCCUGAUCCAGCAAUGCCGCGUGUGUGAAGAAGGCCUUCGGGUUGUAAAGCACUUUUGUCCGGAAAGAAAACUUCGUCCCUAAUAUGGAUGGAGGAUGACGGUACCGGAAGAAUAAGCACCGGCUAACUACGUGCCAGCAGCCGCGGUAAUACGUAGGGUGCGAGCGUUAAUCGGAAUUACUGGGCGUAAAGCGUGCGCAGGCGGUCUGUUAAGACCGAUGUGAAAUCCCCGGGCUUAACCUGGGAACUGCAUUGGUGACUGGCAGGCUUUGAUUGUGGCAGAGGGGGGUAGAAUUCCACGUGUAGCAGUGAAAUGCGUAGAGAUGUGGAGGAAUACCGAUGGCGAAGGCAGCCCCCUGGGCCAACACUGACGCUCAUGCACGAAAGCGUGGGGAGCAAACAGGAUUAU